GCCAAACACACCUGCAUUGCUGGUAAGGUGUUCGAUGAAAUGUCCCUAGCACGGUAAGCGCCAUAAAUUCUGUCAGAGAUAUGCAGUUGGGUAUGCUUCCCAUCUAUUAAAAUGUUUGAAGCUUAUUAACCAGAGCUGCUUAUUUGAUCUAGCAUAUUUGAAGUUUCAAAUAAAAAUGUUUGUCUUCAAUUUACUUUGAAGAGACAUGCGAUUCAAAGGGUUAAAGAACUGGCAGUUAGAAUAGAAGAGAAGCCUCGCAGAGAAGAAAUCUUUGCUUGGUUGCUGGUACCUGUCUGUUGUUGUUGGUUUCCUUGGUUGCUGGUACCUGUCUGUUAUUGUUGGUUGUGCUAUCUGUUGUUUCUGGUGCCGUAGUUGGCUCAUGUGCCAUGGUGAAUCUGUUGUUGCUAGUACAGCUAGGAAUUUUUGUAUGUCCUGUGAUUUGAAUUUCUGUCAAAUUGGUACUGAAGUUCUAGGUAAUUGAAUUUAUAAUCCUGGUCAAAUUAGUUGAUAAAUUUUGUGGGCUGAA